rnacentral:rRNA from 1 species
AUUGAACGCUGGCGGCAUGCUUUACACAUGCAAGUCGGACGAGUGGCGGACGGGUGAGUAACGCAUCGGAACGUACCGGGUAGUGGGGGAUAACUAUCCGAAACGACAGCUAAUACCGCAUACUAUUCGAGCGACCCAUGUGGGAUUAGCUGGUUGGUGGGGUAAAGGCGCACCAAGGCGACGAUCACUAGCUGGUCUGAGAGGAUGAUCAGCCAAACUGGGACUGAGACACGGCCCAGACUCCUACGGGAGGCAGCAGUGGGGAAUAUUGCACAAUGGGCGCAAGCCUGAUGCAGCCAUGCCGCGUGUAUGAAGAAGGCCUUAGGGUUGUAAAGGACUUUCGUCAGGGAAGCGUUACCCGAAGAAGAAGCACCGGCUAACUACGUGCCAGCAGCCGCGGUAAUAC